rnacentral:rRNA from 1 species
UACGGGGGGGGCAAGCGUUGUUCGGAAUUACUGGGCGUAAAGGGCGCGUAGGCGGCCUUCUAAGUCAGACGUGAAAUCCCUCGGCUCAACCGAGGAACUGCGUCUGAUACUGGAAGGCUUGAAUCCGGGAGAGGGAUGUGGAAUUCCAGGUGUAGCGGUGAAAUGCGUAGAUAUCUGGAGGAACACCGGUGGCGAAGGCGGCAUCCUGGACCGGUAUUGACGCUGAGGCGCGAAAGCGUGGGGAGCGAACAGG